rnacentral:rRNA from 1 species
UACAGAGGGUGCAAGCGUUAAUCGGAUUUACUGGGCGUAAAGCGUGUGUAGGUGGUUUGACAAGUCGGUUGUGAAAUCCCUGGGCUCAACCUGGGAACUGCUUCCGAGACUGUCCGACUAGAGUACGGUAGAGGGCGGUGGAAUUUCCGGUGUAGCGGUGAAAUGCGUAGAUAUCGGAAGGAACACCAAUGGCGAAGGCAGCCGCCUGGGCCUGUACUGACACUGAGACACGAAAGCGUGGGGAUCAAACAGGAUUAGAAACCCCCGUAGUCC